AUCGAGCCCUGAUAGCUGCCGCAGGAAGCCCCGGUUGGGGAUGAUGCCGCGGUGUUCCUUCACUGUCUUGAUGGCCUCCACCAGCGUCAUGGUAUGGUGGAUCAUAAGAAACUACUAGAGUACUGAACGCUGAUGAUGGGCGGAGUUUCAAAUGACACCGAGGAAGUAAGGGGAAAAGCUGCCAUGGAUGCUGAAGCUGUAUCUGUAUCAGCCCACCACAGCUGAACAGCAGUCAGCAUGGCAAAGUGCAGCUUUUCCUGCAGGUUUGGAAAGUGAGGGGUCUUCUUCAGUCCUUCAGGAAGGCAACUCCAGUACUUCACAUGGAGGGAAAAGAAAAAGAAAAUUCAAUCAUGAAAGCAUAGACCUAUUGGUGAAUGGGGUCUUAAAAAAGAAAACAGACCGAUUUGGCGCACACAAGAAUCAUGUGUCAUAUAGAAAUAACAUAUGGGACAACAUAACCAACAAAAUAAAUUCCCAAGGGGCAUGUACAAGAAGAACACGACAUGACAUCCAGAAAAAAAGUUAACAUAAAAUUCACAAACCUGAAGCAGGGGUUCCAGGGUACAGGGGGUGGAACCCAACCCUGCUCUCCGCUGAGCAAUAUUGAGGAGAGAAUCCUAUCCACCUGGGAUGUGCGUGCGCUAGAGGUCAUGAUAUUGGAGUGGAGGGUAGGCGUUUUAUAAAAUAUAUUCCAUUCAAUUAAGAAAUGACACUGCUUUUGUCAGUAGUUACCCUUCUCAUAAAGGUAUAUUUGAAAUGCUUUACUGAUAAAGCACAUUGGAACGCAUUGCAGUGUUUAAAGUAACUAACAGAUUUUGUCAUUUUUUGGAUAUAGAACCGACAUUGGCUGUACAGAACACAGAUCCUGAGGAGGUAUUAUCAGGGCAGCAAACCCCACAAGCCCCAGCCACAGACCCUUAACUAAAUUCCCCUGUGAAUACUCCACCAUUUCCAGCUCCGAGUCCUGCUACCCCCCUGUCCCAGAGCACUGCGUUCCUCCUGUUAGUUCCCUUACCCCAACAAGGAUCCCUUCCAACACACAUUCUACUUUAGUUGAGUUAUUGUCUGCCUUUCAAAAUGUACAGCAGGUGUCCAAUCAGCAGCUGCUCUCCCACCUAGAAAGGCAAGAGGUGCACAUGACAGCUGUAGUGAGUAACCUGGACAGAACUGCCAGGUGUCUGGAGGCUCUGGUGGAAAGAUUGCCUUUGUGUCCACAUUUAUAUCCCCCUGUUCCCUCUCCUAUCCCUGCAAUGAGCUGUACUCCUUGUAAAUUUCCAAUUGUGUCUGCAGUGACUCCCUUCUCUGCUAGGACACAAGAUUCUCUUUCUUCUUCCUCCUCCUCUAUGUCCUUGAAAGGAACCCUUAAACUGCGGCUACUAGGAGGACAUCAAGAUCAACCAGGCACAAGAAAUUGUUUAAUGAUUUUAAAAUGAAAACAGAAGUUAAAGGGUUUUUUCUUUUUCAAUGUGACGUGUGUUAUUAUUUCAUAUCAAUUAGUAGGUUAUAAUGUAUUAGUUUAUUAGCUGGAUCAGCUGUUUUUGUUAUUUAAAUAUAUAGUUGAUCAUUGAGUAAGCAAAAUAAAAUAUAAACAAAUGUCAAGUGCUUUUAUACAAGGUAGUACAAAAUGAUACAUAUGUUCAAAAUGUGUAAAUUAUAUAGUUACUUUACACACAUUGUCAAUUUAAUAUAAACACAAUGUUAAUGACAAUUAAAUUACAGUAUUUACACAUAAAAGAAAUCCUGGACUAUCCUGUUACGGACAACCUGCCAUCGGGCAGUGCAGGAUGAUCUGCUACCUGUGGUUCCUGAGGUUGCUGUCCACAGGGCUCAUCCUCAAAAUCCUCCAGCAUUUGUUUUUGCACAGCAAUGUUGUGCAAGACGCAGCAUGCCACAGUGAUGUCACACACUCUCUUAGGUGAAUACUGUAAUGCACCUCCAGAUGUGCGCAGACAUUGAAAGUGCAUCUCCAGCAGACCAAAUGUUCUUUCUAUUACAUUUCUUGUUACUUCCUGUGCUCGGUUUCGUGUGACUGCAUAACUGUCCAUAACCUGCGUCACCUUAAGAAAAUAAUAAAAAAUAUAUAGAGAGAGAGAGAGCGUGUGUAGUCCUGGGGGGAAAAAGGACUACGUCUCCCAGAAGGUCACAGGCUUCGUUUGUUUAAUUGUUUAAUUUCAUUUUGUAAAUUGUUUGAUUAGUAAUGAUCCCCUGCACCUGGCUAUCAUUGUAAAUUAGAGUCAGGUGCAGGGUAUUUAAAGAAAGCAGCCAGUCUGUUUGGGGCUGCUGUGUGCACAAGCUUGUGAAAAGAAAAAGGUAGUGUAGUGUUUUGUUUGAAUAUUUUGUUUUAUUGGCAGGUAAACAGCUUAGCUGUCCUGAAAUAGUUUAGGUUCCUGUUCUGUGGUUUAGUUAAUGCUCAAGAAAGAGCUAGGCGUUUGUUUGGUUUAUUUUGUUUUUGUGAUUAUUAAAAAAAAAAUAGCGCAAAGCGCUUUAAGAAACCUCCAUUCCUGUGUGUUGGGUCUGAUUUUUCAAGAACCCGAGUGGUGUAAGCUCGGUUACAUACGGUGGCAGUGAGAGUGGGCGCCCCUACGACCCAGAGAAAAUGGACAGAGUUAAAAGCGUUGAUCGAGCAAAUCAACAAGAACACAGCUGCUCAGAAGGAGCAGAACAGGAGAUGGAGACAGGAGAGGGGGCUACCGGAGCCGACCGAGCUGGAACUGCUGCUCCAAAAGUGGGAGCAGGAAAGGGAGGCACCGCUGGCUGCAGCCCCAGAGGGAGAAGCCCCACUGUCUCAGGAGCAGGAGGAGGAGGAGCCGUUGCCAUCCCCGGAGCCACCGGCUGCAGUCAAGGGGGAGGAGGUGCCUCAACCACCAACCCUGCAAGCCAGUCCGGCACUGCCGAGGGAGGUUCCCUGUCCUGACAUCGUGGACACCUGGCCGGAAUGCCCAGACCUCCCUACACUGGACCUUGCUCCCAGGUCGCAGCACUGCCAGGCACAGUUGCUUGCCUGGUCCCUUGCUCUGCUCCCCCUGAACCCGCAGACGACACAUAAUGGGAGUCAGACAUCACAUGCGCUCCCCCUUUCCUCCCACUGUGUUCCCCCUGAGGCUGCAGACGUCGCUGCGUCGAUCCACAGCCACACACCUCUGCCUGCCAGUUCUUGCUCCCGGUCACCGGCCUGCGCUACAGUCACCCAGGGCAAGCCGGCCGGGUCCCUCCUCGCCGGUUCUCGGUCCAUCCCAGGAAGCGCCAGAGGGACUGACCCACCCUUAAGCCCGCCCGUGGAAGAGGGCGAAGAUUAAAAAGAUGGGACUUGAGGGUGGGUGGUCUUUUAAGGGUGGAGGGAAGUGGCCUUGGAAUGGCUGGGUAUGUUUCACACAAGGGGGAGGAUGUGUGAGAAAGUGUAGUCCUGGGGAGAAAGAACCAAGUCUCCCAGAAGGUCAUAGGCUUCAUUUGUUUAAUUGUUUAAUUUCAUUUUGUGAAUUGCUUGAUUAGUAAUGAUCCCCUGCCCCUGGCUAUCAUUCUCAAUUAGAGCAGGUGCAGGGUAUUUCAAGAAAGCAUCCAGUCUGUUGGAUGUGUGGAGAGCCUGCUUGACAGUGUGCACAAGCUUAUAAAAAGAAAAAGGUAGUGUAAAACUGUGUGGUUUUGUUUUGUUUGAAUAUUUUGUUUAAUUGGCAGGUAAACGGCUUAGCUGUCCUGCAAGAUAGUUUAGGGUCAUGUUCUGUGGUUUAGCUAAUGGUCAAGAAAGAGCUAGGUGUUUGUUUUGUUUUUGUGAUUAUUAAAAAAAAAAAAAAAAAAAAAAAAAAAAAAA